UUUCCGUAGGUGAACCUGCGGAAGGAUCAUUAUCGUACAAAAUGUGAGGGGCAUGCGAGGGCUGUCGCUGACUCAAAAGUCGUGCACGCCCGAGUGUGUCCCCGUGCAUAACAAUCCAUCUCACCCUUUGUGCAUCACCGCGUGGUCACCCUUCGGAAUCAUCUCGGAGGGGGGCUCGCGGUAUCACACAAACCCCCCUUUUAAAAGUGUAGAAUGACCACAUUUAUGCAAUCAAUACAACUUUCAACAACGGAUCUCUUGGCUCUC
rnacentral:misc_RNA from 1 species